rnacentral:misc_RNA from 1 species
UCCUUGAGGGUCUACACCUCGGA